UUUGCUUCUUGAAACUAGUAAAGUAUGAUGAUGCAAUCAAAGAGUGCAACAAAGCAUUGGAGCUGAACCCUUCGUAUGUAAAAGCACUUCUCAGGAGGGGAGAGGCCCAUGAAAAGCUGGAAAACUUUGAAGACGCCCUUGCUGACAUGAAGAAAGUUCUUGAGCUGGAUCCUUCGAAUGAAGAAGCAAGAAAGAGCAUUCGACGUUUGGAGCCAUUGGCGGCGGAAAAACGGGAAAA
rnacentral:misc_RNA from 1 species